rnacentral:rRNA from 1 species
CACGUAGGGUGCGAGCGUUGUCCGGAAUUAUUGGGCGUAAAGAGCUCGGUAGGCGGUGUGUCGCGUCGGCCGUGAAAACCUGCAGCUUAACUGUGGGCUUGCGGUCGAUACGGGCAUCACUGGAGUUCGGGCAGGGAGACUGGAAUUCCUGGGUGAUAGCGGUGAAAUGACGCAGAUAUCAGGAGGAACACCGGUGGCGAAGGCGGGUCUCUGGGCCG